UACCUGGUGGUCCAGUGGUUAAGACUCUGCACUCCCAAUGCAGGGGGCCCAGUUUCAAUCUCUGGUCAGGGAG
rnacentral:tRNA from 1 species